rnacentral:tRNA from 1 species
CACAUAGCUCAGUUGGUUAGAGCACCACCUUGACAUGGUGGGGGUCGUUGGUUCGAGUCCAAUUGUGCCUACCA